AGACCAAGUCUUACUGGAUUGAAGAGAUGUUUAAGUCAUGCCGGGCUGAUAAUGAGCAAACCCAAAAAACGAAAUGGCGAAAGAACUUGAUAAUGAGUGUCUCCAAAAUGGUGGAGUUUGGUGUAGGAUUGACUUAAGGGCUAUUUGAUCAAGAGGCUAGACAAAAGUUCGCCGAACCGGUACCGGAAUCCAUACUGAUCAGCGGGCAGGUCGGUAUAGCACCGAACUACGAUAUCAGUUCAAUACUACAUCGACACACGAUAUGCUUGGGUGUUCCGGUUACGAACUGGCAUGUUUCAAUUUUUUUUUAAGUUUUUCAAGUUUGAUUAAUUGGUAAUCAAUUUUUUUCAACUUUGUUAAUAAUUUUAAGUAUAAUUUGAUGUUUUUUGAUGUUUUUAUGAUCCCGGUAUAACCUAAAUGAUGCAUCUUGUUGUUUUAAAGUGAUACAAAAUAUAAAAUAAUUAGUGAGAUGUUGCAUGCUAUAAGAAGCAAUAUAAAAUAUCCUAAAGUCAACUAGUGAGGUGAAAAUUAUAAAAUAAUACAAUCAAUUAUAUAUAUUUAAAGUACAAUAUACAUACCAAUAUCUAAAAUCUCAUCGAGUGGCGAUGCCUCUCGUAGAUAUUCGAAUCAUUAGUAUAGUCAGGAGGCACAUCAGCCCACCCUUCUAAUCAAGAGGCGUUAGUCUUGUAUAUUCAUCCCAUAAGUAACACAUUUUGGUUAUAAGCACUUUUGGAUCUCUCGUUGAAGCUUUGAUUCUGAGAGGUGUUCAGCUGAUAAUACGACUGUGGAGGGGGCUAUCCGAAUAUGCUGGCAGCAAAAUUCGAUCCGUAAGAUGCUCCAGGCUGCGUAGGGUAGUAGUCAUCGAAAGAUGGUGCCUUAGAAACACUAUAUCUAUAUCCAUAUUUGUAUGGAUCAUAGGCUACCUCUAGCUGCGGAUAAUAGGAUCCAGUAUAUGAUUUGGAAUUUGAUAUAUCUAUGGACCCUACUCCAUGCGCAAGGUCAUCUGUAGCUGCAUCGUGUCUUCCUAAAUAACCUCGAGUAGCCCGUCUUCUAUAUGCAAUUGUAUUAUCGCGAGCUCUACCGGAUCAUGCACCGUGGUCCCUAUCCCUUGUAGCAUGCAUAAACUGGAACUCACUGGUAAAUCGAAGGCCACUCAAUAAAUGGUGGUCUCAUGUCCUUUACUUUCUUCUUGGUCAGCAGAUUAAUGACCACCAGAACUAUCAUUGCUGCUGCUUCUGGUCUUUAAAUGUAAGUGAACUGGCUC
rnacentral:lncRNA from 1 species